CGAGGAUACAUCCUUAUUGGUUGGAGAGUUGAGUUGAGCAAGUUUUUGGUUUCUCCAGAAGUGAAUUUUACAUCCAAAGAAGAAAACCCUAAGCAUAUACUGAGCUCAGCCUGAUGCUCCUAGGCCCGGGUCCUGUGCUGGACAAUGUCCCUGAAGGACCCCGCGAUCACCGCACAGCCGAGCUCACCACUCUAGUUGAAAUCCGAAGCUACAGCAUUCCCACGGGCUCCCGAGGGCAUCGUGGGCCCAAGGUACCUCAGCCACCGCACCUGAGCGGGGAGAAGUGCCCCUGCCUCGUGGUCCUGGAGGAUGGCUCAGACACCCACCGCAGGUUUGGGGACCAGUCCCUUUUCACAGGGGUGGUAAGGGAUGGAGACUGCACUACCCCCUCCUGACUCGAACCAAAUGUCUCCUCCUGGGCUUUGGUCUUGUUGAGUGCCGCCGGCCCCCGACCGGCACCCCCUGGCCAGGUAGCCCGGGCACAAUUUUGACCCGAGGCUACUUAUUGUGUGAGAGACCUCAAGGGCUUCCGUCCUAUGCCUGUUGGCCUCCCUGCGGUCUCCGCGUGCCCUUUCCUGCCUCCGUCUCCGCGGAGCGGUCCUGUCUGCUGCCCUUCAGUCUCUCGUGGGACCCUCGGCCUCUCUCGCCCUACCUGGGCAUCAGGUGUGCUAGCAUUUACUUACACCGUUUCCUUCCAUCACUUCACCCUUGGCACACCUUAGGAAGCAAAUGAAACCUCGUCCUUAGCAAAAAUAGCCCCGAGUCACGGUUCCUUGGGCCCCGCUCAUCGGAGGGGGGCUCUGGAGCCAGAGGGAUGCCGGCGGCCUCCGGCUCGCUCAUCCCUUGCGAGCUGGCGGGGCUGCGGAUCUGCUUGGUCUCACUCUGCCCUGGUUUCCUCGUCUGUAAGAGGAGAGCAACGACCUCGGCAGCGUGCUGCCGGAGUGACUGAGAUGACACACAGGAACUGUGGCUGAUGGCCCUGCCCUGCCCUCCCCCAUCUGGACAGCAGCCCAUCUUGUGUUCCUUUACUCACAGGCGCCAUGAGAGCAGAGAGCCGCUGGUUCGUCGCCGGCGGUCGGCAACGAGGACAGAUCGUGAUCUU